rfam:Hortaea werneckii EXF-2000 unitig_396, whole genome shotgun sequence.
GCCGCUAUAGCUCAGUUGGUAGAGCGCGGCACUAGUACUUCUACUAGAUCAUGCCGAGGUCUACGGUUCAAAUCCGUAUGGUGGCA